rnacentral:rRNA from 1 species
AACGAACGCUGGCGGCAUGCCUAACACAUGCCAGUCGAACGAGACCUUCGGGUCUAGUGGCGCACGGGUGCGUAACGCGUGGGAACCUGCCCUUAGGUUCGGAAUAACUCCCCGAAAGGGGUGCUAAUACCGGAUAAUGUCUUCGGACCAAAGAUUUAUCGCCUUUGGAUGGGCCCGCGUUGGAUUAGCUAGUUGGUAGGGUAAAAGCCUACCAAGGCGAGGAUCCAUAGCUGGUCUGAGAGGAUGAUCAGCCACACUGGGACUGAGACACGGCCCAGACCCCUACGGGAGGCAGCAGUGGGGAAUAUUGAAAAAUGGGCGAAAGCCUGAUCCAGCAAUGCCGGGUGAGUGAUGAAGGCCUUAGGGUUGUAAAGCUCUUUUACCCGGAAUGAUAAUGACAGUACCGGGAGAAUAAGCCCCGGCUAACUCCGU